AGCUUCCCCGCCAGCCUGCCGCCUCCCUUCGCGCUCCUCUUCUUCUUCAGCCCACCGCCGCGACACGGAUCGCUCGCCCCCGCUUCUCAACAAAAGUGAUCCCUUGCCACCUGGCCCUGGAGUGCCGGUGAAAUGAGGCCAGGCCUGCGCCUAGUUGGCAAGCCGGGUAGAUAGAAUGACCAGGCAACUGUUUCAGAACACAACUUACUGUGGAGAACAUGUGGGAGGAGCCAGCUAUGAGAUGCCAACUGCCAUUGUGAGAGCUCCAUCUUCUUUUGUAGCGUCUCCUCUCAUGCAGUUGUGGAACAAGUUGCAGCAAAGGAUGCAGGACAGACGACUGAGAGGAUAUGAAUACAGACACAUGAAAGACAAUGAAAUCCAGGAUGUAUAAACACAAACAAACAAAACCCUUCACUGCAGCACUGACUCAAAAACAGAGCACACAAAGCAAAAGAUGGAAGACGUUUGAUGGGACAAUACUUUUAGACAUUUCCAUAGCUGUUUCUGAUGUUGCAAUUUCCUGCAUAAAUGCACACUGUUAAGCUUCUUUGAUGAGGAAAUAACUAGCGUCAACAAGUACCAUUCCUGUGUUUGUUGCAAGCUUGACGUGGGUAUGCAAGAUGCACUGCUUGCAAAAGCAAAUGAUAGCUGAGUGUUUGUUGUCAGGGCCUCAGGUAGCAGAAUCCCUGGACACACACCUUCUUGCCUCCGGAGAAGCAGCUACAAUGGAUUCUCCAUUCUGGCAAGAUCUCACAAGAACCCUACAAGAUCACACAGGUACCUCCAGAGGCUUCCGUGACUUCUUGUGGGGCUCUCAUGAGAUCUCACCAGAAGCUCUGUGACCCCAGUAAGCGAGGCUUUGGCAAGGGCAGCAAAGAGGUUGGUGUGCAGUGUGUGCACUUUCCUGUUUCACCUCAGGCAGUGAAAUGGGAUGAGCUGCCUCUGCUUGUUGCCAUGAGCCAUCUAACACCACAGACAUUAGAUAAAGCUCCCUAUGGUUUCUUGCUAGGUGAACAAUCUCAGGAUAAUGCCAAGUUCCUAGAUAUCCAGACAGGAAAAGUUUGCAAACACAGGAAGAACUCAUAAAUCCAAGCAGCAUCCAACUAAACAGAUCUUGUAGUGCAAGAACAUUUGGCUCUGCAAAGGAACUUUCCCACCCUCUUCUCUCACCUGCAUGUACACAUACUCCCUAAAUAUGUUCUGCAUGUAACCCCAAGGCUUUGGGGAGGGCACAGGGAGCACAUAGGGAGAAGAGAGGAGAGGGGAAUUUAUAUUAUGCAUGCAGAAAUCAUUGCACUAGCAUAUCUGUUUAAUAGCAUUUCAUACAUAAUUCUUCGUCUUGGUCACAAAGAAGAACUUGCCUCAUUAAUCAAGGAGUAGUGUCCCUUUAUCCUACACAGAACCCCACGAUCUAUAUGCCGCCUUCCAGAAGCCCUCCACAAUACAAGGUACAAUAUUUAGGAGAAAAGUUGAAGCUGAAGCUUCAGUGAGGCCAAAAUACUUGAAUGGCAACUCAAUUUCAAUAUGCUAAGUUAGUCUGAAGGCACACAGCCAAGGUAGAUGUUUAUGGAAUUGUUGUUGUUUUUAUUUUGAUUAUGCAUUUUGUGGUUUUAUAUUUUGAUUUUAUUCUGUGAACCGCCCUGAGACCUGCAUGUAUAGGGAGGUAUAUAAAUUCAAUAAAUAAUUAUUAUAAUAAUACUGCUAAAAAGCAGCAGUUGCUGGCCACAGUUGAAACAAUUCUGGGCUUCCUUACCUCCUGCUCUUCUUCAUUCCUUACAGUGCAUUCCUAAACAAGUCUGUAAGCCACACUGAGUUAAAUGGGACACUCUCAGGUAAGGGUGUAUAGGAUUCAACCUCAGUCUAUGUGCAUUCUGCUCUACUGCUUUCCUUACUUCCCCCAGGAAACCUCAAGCCUAAAUUUUUGUUGCCCUACAAACCUGAAUCCCAAAUCAGAAUAAGCCGCUCCGCAAGUGCUCCCAAUAUGUGUGCAGCAUCUGUUAGUGGUCAGGGCAUAACUGAACAGCACUGCACAUAAUGUUUCUCAAAAAUAUUACAUUUAUAUUCUUGUUUAAAAAAUGCAAAACAUUUCAUGCAGCAGAUAUAUAACCAUUAUUCGCUAAAUAUAUUAAUUGCAUAAUGGUCUAUUCUGCACCCAUGAGGCUCAAAGCUAAAGAUAAAAUACAUCUUCUUAUUCUGCGAUUUCAUAAUGAGUUAGGUGUGGUUCUAAUAUAAUUAGUUUUAUCAAAAGAUUUGUGUGGGGUUAUUUACUCAAAUACUGUGAGAAAUCAAAAGCCCAGCUUAUUUAAUGUAUGUUUUAAAGUGUAUUUGAAUUUCCAUUGGUGUAUAAACUUGGUGAUAAGCUAAACAUAAUAAAAUGUACAACUUCUA